UCCAGGCACAGUGGAGCGUGCCUGUAGCCCCAGCUCCGAGGGAGGCUGAGGUGGGAGGAUCGCUUGAAUCCAGGAGCUCUGGGCUGCAGUGCACUCUGCCGAUGGGGUGUCCACGCUAAGUUCGCAUGAAUACGCUGACCUCCCGGGAGCAGGAGACCACCAGGUUGCCUAAGGAGAGGUGAACUGGCUCAGGACUGAAACGGAGCAGGUCAAAACUCCCGUGCUGAUCUGUAAUUAUAUUUUUGCUAGUAGUUGAAACCAUGAGCAUUGAGUUUUAUAAUCCUUAGUUU
rnacentral:SRP_RNA from 1 species